rnacentral:lncRNA from 1 species
UCACAUUCAUUUUAAACCAGAAAAUUCCUCAAUAAAUUGAAAACUUCACCAUAAAUUCCUUCAACCCAUGAAAUACUCCACAAAAUAACACACAUGGCCACCACAAACCAUUAAUUAACCAAUACUAGAACAAAAUGGACUUGUAUAUCAACUCACCUCAAAUUCAAGAGAGCUACCAACUUAGAACUUCCCAUCCAAAAGCAAGCCAUCAAAAGCUUUAAACCACCCUAGAGAGCACUUGUGUGAAAUAUUUGCCAAAAC